rnacentral:rRNA from 1 species
GACGAACCGUGCGAACGGUGUUCGGAAUCACUGGGCUUAAAGGGCGCGUAGGCGGGUCAGCAAGUCCGGGGUGAAAUCUUUCAGCUCAACUGGAAAAGUGCCUUGGAUACUGCUGGUCUUGAGGGAGGUAGGGGCGUGCGGAACUUCUGGUGGAGCGGUGAAAUGCGUUGAUAUCAGAAGGAACGCCGGUGGCGAAAGCGGCGCGCUGGACCUCUUCUGACGCUGAGGCGCGAAAGCUAGGGGAGCAAACGGG